rnacentral:rRNA from 1 species
UGCGCAGCCUCAGCAGCCAUGCCGCGUGUCUGAAGAAGGCCUUCGGGUUGUAAAGGACUUUUGUCCGGGAGCAAAUACCUGGUGUUAAUAGCGCCAGGGGCUGAGAGUACCGGAAGAAUAAGCACCGGCUAACUACGUGCCAGCAGCCGCGGUAAUACGUAGGGUGCAAGCGUUAAUCGGAAUUACUGGGCGUAAAGC